UACGUAGGUGACAAGCGUUGUCCGGAUUUACUGGGCGUAAAGAGCGCGCAGGCGGUCGAUCAAGUCGAGUGUGAAAGCCCCCGGCUCAACUGGGGAGGGUCAUUCGAUACUGAUCGACUCGAAGGCAGGAGAGGGUAGUGGAAUUCCCGGUGUAGUGGUGUGAAAUGCGUAGAUAUCGGGAGGAACACCAGUGGCGAAGGCGACUACCUGGCCUGUUCUUGACGCUGAGGCGCGAAAGCUAGGGGAGCAAACGGG
rnacentral:rRNA from 1 species